GCCACCGUUGCCCGGGGAUGGGUCCCUGAGAAUUGGCGAAGUAGGAGCCCUGUGUGAUUGUGCGUCAGAGUCGGGGCUGAGACCAGUCCUGGCCAGGGCAGUUACCAGGACGGUCUCCGGAGGCCGGGAUUCGCGGAGGGUCCGCCAGGAGGAAGAAACCUCAGACAGAUCGCCGGGGCCGCAGCGCGGGAUUCCAGCCUCAGGCGUGCACGGACGGUGUGCGGGAAGGGAGUGUAUCCUGGUGUAUGACAGCAUAUAGUAGAGACCAGUGUCAAUUAGGGCCUGUGAACUGAGACAGGGUGACUGGCUAAGUCCACAACCCAUUAGAAACCCAGAAAUAAUCAAAUCAUGGAGAGAUUAGUCCAGGGACAAUAAAUAUGGAUUAGGGAAGAAUGUGUUAACUCAGCAGGCCAGGGUUUCUUCAACCCUGCACAUUCAAAGGUAAGGUUUGUUUUUAGGACUAGCUAGCUUCUGAGUUCUGGAAACAGUCUUACCGUGAAGAGUGUUUUUGUAUAUCUGAGGCCUUGGGUUUAUGGUGAAUGACUGACUUUAUAUGCCUGAGGCCCUGAGUCAUGCUGUAUUUAUCUGAACCAUGUGGUAUCAAUUUAACCAGAUACGUUUAUUCUAAGAUAUGAUUUAUGCUGAAAGCCUGCUUUUGUUCUAGAGGGAUCAUGGAAAGGAAGCUGAAUUUGCUGAGUUUUGCCACGUGGGCAUUGCAUGCCUAUGUGAUUAACCACCAAUAAAAACCUGGGACAUCAAAAAAUAAAUAAGCUGCUUUAAUUGCCAAGAAUUCACAUGUGGUUGUAUGCAGCAUUACUGGGAGAUUGAAGUGUAUCUGCAUGUGAUUCUACUGUGAUGGACACUUGUAAAUUUGUGCCUGGAGUCUCCUGGAAUUUGCCCUGAGAAUCUUUUUCCUUUGUUGAUAAGAAUCUGCAUCCUUUUGUUUUAAUAAACGAUAAACAUGAGUAUAAUUGCU
rnacentral:lncRNA from 1 species